UACGGGGGGGGCAAGCGUUGUUCGGAAUUACUGGGCGUAAAGGGCUCGUAGGCGGCCAUCUAAGUCGGACGUGAAAGUCCCUCGGCUUAACCGGGGAACUGCGUCCGAUACUGGAGGGCUCGAGUGUGGGAGAGGGAUGCGGAAUUCCAGGUGUAGCGGUGAAAUGCGUAGAUAUCUGGAGGAACACCGGUGGCGAAGGCGGCAUCCUGGACCAUUACUGACGCUGAGGAGCGAAAGCCAGGGGAGCAAAACGGG
rnacentral:rRNA from 1 species